rnacentral:rRNA from 1 species
UACGGAGGGUGCGAGCGUUAUCCGGAAUUACUGGGUUUAAAGGGUGCGUAGGCGGCUUUGUAAGUUAGAGGUGAAAGCCCGGGGCUCAACCCCGGAACAGCCUUUAAGACUGCAUCGCUAGAAUCCGGGAGAGGUGAGUGGAAUUCCGAGUGUAGAGGUGAAAUUCGUAGAUAUUCGGAAGAACACCAGUGGCGAAGGCGGCUCACUGGACCGGCAUUGACGCUGAGGUGCGAAAGCGUGGGGAGCAAACAGG